GAACAUCAAGCAUUUUCUCUUUUUUUUUUCUUGACAGGCAGAGUGGAUAGUGAGAGACAGAGAGAAAGGUCUUCCUUUUGCCGUUGGUUCACCCUCCAAUGGCCGCCACGACUGGCGCGCUGCGGCCGGCGCACCGCACUUAUCCGAAGGCAGGAGCCAGGUGCUUCUCCUGGUCUCCCAUGGGGUGCAGGGCCCAAGGACCUGGGCCAUCCUCCACUGCACUCCCGGGCCACAGCAGAGAGCUGGCCUGGAAGAGGGGCAACCGGGACAGAAUCUGGUGCCCCGACUGGGACUAGAACCCGGUGUGCCAGUGCCGCAAGGCGGAGGAUUAGCCUAGUGAGCCAUGGCGCCGGCCAGAUUUUCUCUUCAUUUGGUGGAAUGGAGCUCCAUCUCACAGAAUAAUUUUAUGGGGACUGGUGCCAUGGCAUAGCGGAUAAAGCUGCUGC
rnacentral:lncRNA from 1 species